rnacentral:rRNA from 1 species
UACGUAGGGUGCGAGCGUUGUCCGGAAUUAUUGGGCGUAAAGAGCUCGUAGGCGGUUUGUCGCGUCGGGAGUGAAAAGCUGGGGCUUAACCCCAGUCCUGCUUCCGAUACGGGUGGACUAGAGGUAGGUAGGGGAGAUCGGAAUUCCUGGUGUAGCGGUGAAAUGCGCAGAUAUCAGGAGGAACACCGGUGGCGAAGGCGGAUCUCUGGGCCUUACCUGACGCUGAGGAGCGAAAGCAUGGGGAGCAAACAGG